GUAGGUGGCAAGCGUUGUCCGGAAUUAUUGGGCGUAAAGCGCGCACAGGCGGUUCUUUAAGUCUGAUGUGAAAGCCCACGGCUCAACCGUGGAGGGUCAUUGGAAACUGGAGAACUUGAGUACAGAAGAGGAAAGCGGAAUUCCACGUGUAGCGGUGAAAUGCGUAGAGAUGUGGAGGAACACCAGUGGCGAAGGCGGCUUUCUGGUCUGUAACUGACGCUGAGGCGCGAAAGCGUGGGGAGCAAACAGGGAUUAGAUACCCUGGUAGUCCACGCCGUAAACGAUGAGUGCUAAGUGUUAGGGGGUUUCCCGCCCCUUAGUGCUGCAGCUAACGCAUUAAGCACUCCGCCUGGGGAGUACGGCCGCAAGGCUG
rnacentral:rRNA from 1 species